CCGGCGCACGGGUGAGUAACACGUAUGCAACCUGCCUGCCACAGCCGGAUAAUCGGGAGAAAUUCCGUCUAAUACGGCAUAAUGCAUCGACGGGACAUCCUGUUGGUGCCAAAGGUUAAUUCCGGUGGCGGAUGGGCAUGCGUCGCAUUAGUUAGUUGGCGGUGUAACGGACCACCAAGACGACGAUGCGUAGGGGUUCUGAGAGGAAGGUCCCCCACACCGGUACUGAGACACGGACCAGACUCCUACGGGAGGCAGCAG
rnacentral:rRNA from 1 species